rnacentral:rRNA from 1 species
UACGAAGGGGGCUAGCGUUGCUCGGAAUCACUGGGCGUAAAGCGCACGUAGGCGGCUUCCUAAGUCAGGGGUGAAAUCCUGGAGCUCAACUCCAGAACUGCCUUUGAUACUGGAGAGCUUGAGUCCGGAAGAGGUGAGUGGAACUCCGAGUGUAGAGGUGAAAUUCGUAGAUAUUCGGAAGAACACCAGUGGCGAAGGCGGCUCACUGGUCCGGUACUGACGCUGAGGUGCGAAAGCGUGGGGAGCAAACAGG